GAGGCGGGGGCCGGGGCCGGGCCGGGCGGGGCAGGCGGCGCUCGGAGGGGCUGCGGCGGCGCGGAGCCCCUGGGCAGCGACCGCAAUCCUUCCCCGGUCCCGACCCCUGCGCCCGCUGCAUCGGCCUCCAGCCUUUCCGAGAAGCGCCUCGGACACGGGAGAAACGUGAGAGGGGACUGGGGUUUCAAAGCAAAAAAGCCGACAAGUGCUCGGAAGUUAGAAAUCGGCUUCGGCCGCCGCUUCUCUGGGGCUGUUUCAGGAGGAGGUCCCGGCAGACAUUUCGGGUUUCGCAAGGAGCGCGGUUUCCUGACAGACGAGCGCGCAGGGAGCAGGCAGCGGGGGGAAAUCCUGCCGCCGCCCCACGGCGCCCGGGCGGCCCGGCUCGGCGGACGGGCAUGGAUGCACUAAUGGACGGAUGGAGGAUGAGCGCUGCCGGCGAGCAGCAGUGAUGUCGGCAAUAAUUAGGUAGAUACGGGCUCUGGUACUACAAAAUCCAUAAUGAAGGGCAGAUAAUCUGAAUGGGAACAGGAUUGAGCCCACAAUCCCAGAUUCUCUUUUAAACAUCAGCCUAAACAUGAAAUUUUUGAAGUGGAAAAGCUCACCAUAAUUCAUCAUUAUAUGAAAAUAUACCAGUUUUGAAAGUAAAAAAUAUAUAACUCAAUGGAUACAAUUACUGCUAAAUUCAAUAAAGAGAAAUUAUCAUGACUGAUGCUUAUUCA
rnacentral:lncRNA from 1 species